AACAGAUUUAUUAGGAUACAUGCCAAGAACAGAGGAAGGACUAAUAUCCCAGAUCCCUUGGAAAAACAGGAGUUAUAUAAUACAUUCAAGACAGUGGAAGCCCUACAUUUGGAUUCUAAUAUCACAACCCUAAAUAUAGUACUAAUAGAGAAGUCAGAAACGGCACUAAAGAGAAAGAAGACAGGAAAAGUAGCUGGAUUGGAGCUGUGGAUAGAGAAGAAAUCUAUGUUAAAGAUGAGAAAGUAUGAGAAAGACAGCAGCAGACUCUACAUUUGUCAUCCAAGGACCGGCUCAUCCUCCAUUCAAAUAGGCUCAUCUUCAGAAUACUGAUCCCAAA
rnacentral:lncRNA from 1 species